rfam:Sarcophilus harrisii ctg7180002514352, whole genome shotgun sequence.
AAAACAGAUUUUAUCAAAUCUAUCAAUAUACACUAGAAAAGUUAUU